UACGUAGGUGGCAAGCGUUGUCCGGAAUUAUUGGGCGUAAAGCGCGCGCAGGCGGUCCUUUAAGUCUGAUGUGAAAGCCCACGGCUCAACCGUGGAGGGUCAUUGAAACUGGGGGACUUGAGUGCAGGAGAGAAGAGUGGAAUUCCACGUGUAGCGGUGAAAUGCGUAGAGAUGUGGAGGAACACCAGUGGCGAAGGCGACUCUUUGGCCUGUAACUGACGCUGAGGCGCGAAGCGUGGGGAGCAACAGG
rnacentral:rRNA from 1 species